UACGUAGGGGGCAAGCGUUGUCCGGAUUUAUUGGGCGUAAAGAGCUCGUAGGCGGUCUGUCACGUCGGCUGUGAAAUCCCGGGGCUCAACCUCGGGUCUGCAGUCGAUACGGGCAAACUAGAGUAUUGCAGGGGAGACUGGAAUUCCUGGUGUAGCGGUGAAAUGCGCAGAUAUCAGGAGGAACACCGGUGGCGAAGGCGGGUCUCUGGGCAAUAACUGACGCUGAGGAGCGAAAGCGUGGGGAGCGAACAGG
rnacentral:rRNA from 1 species